CAGGAUGAACGCUAGCUACAGGCUAACACAUGCAAGUCGAGGGGCAUCAGGAAGAAAGCUUGCUUCUUGCUGGCGACCGGCGCACGGGUGAGUAACGCGUAUCCAACCUUCCCCUUAGUAGGGCAUAGCCCGGCGAAAGUCGGAUUAAUACCCUAUGUUGUGUCAUGAGGACAUCUGACUAACACUAAAGAUUUAUCGCUAAGGGAUGGGGAUGCGUCCGAUUAGCUUGCCGGCGGGGUAACGGCCCACCGGGGCGACGAUGGGUAGGGGUUCUGAGAGGAAGGUCCCCCACAAUGGAACUGAGACACGGUCCAUACUCCUACGGGAGGCAGCAGUGAGGAAUAUUGGUCAAUGGGCGGAAGCCUGAACCAGCCAUGCCGCGUGCAGGGAAAUAAGGCCCUACGGGUCGUAAACUGCUUUUGUACGGGAGCAAUAAGGGCCACGUGUGACCUGAUGAGAGUACCGUACGAAUAAGCAUCGGCUAACUCCGUGCCAGCAGCUGC
rnacentral:rRNA from 1 species